AUUGAACGCUGGCGGCAUGCUUUACGCAUGCAAGUCGAACGGUAACAGGCCGCAAGGUGCUGACGAGUGGCGAACGGGUGAGUAAUGCAUCGGAACGUGCCCAGUCGUGGGGAUAACUGCUCGAAAGAGCAGCUAAUACCGCAUACGAUCUAUGGAUGAAAGCGGGGGACCGUAAGGCCUCGCGCGAUUGGAGCGGCCGAUGUCAGAUUAGGUAGUUGGUGGGGUAAAGGCUCACCAAGCCAACGAUCUGUAGCUGGUCUGAGAGGACGACCAGCCACACUGGGACUGAGACACGGCCCAGACUCCUACGGGAGGCAGCAGUGGUGAAUUUUGGGCAAUGGGGGCAACCCUGAUCCAGCAAUGCCGCGUGCAGGAAGAAGGCCUUCGGGUUGUAAACUGCUUUUGUACGGAACGAAACGGUCUGGGUUAAUACCCUGGGCUAAUGACGGUACCGUAAGAAUAAGCACCGGCUAACUACGUGCCAGCCGCCGCCGUAACAC
rnacentral:rRNA from 1 species